rnacentral:lncRNA from 1 species
CUUACAGAAAUUGCUGCUUAAUUUCGGAGGCUAUACCAGCCACCUACCACCGAGCCCAACAAGGGGACGCUACGAGACCCGAAGGAGACGCAGACGCCAACUGUA